rnacentral:rRNA from 1 species
UGAUUGCCUGGGUGUCAUGCAUCAUCACCCCCUCUAACCCCCCACCCAUUGAGUUUCAGGUGAAGGGGCAAAAAAUGGCCUUUUAUGAUCUCAUCGGUUGUUAUUGGCCCAAAAGUGAGUCCCCGAUAAUGAUAGUGCUGUGAUCGUUGCUGGUAAAGCUCCCAGCAUGCAUUGUCUCUAAUGAGGUAUCAAAGAGCAGUGAAAGUCCCGUUAUGCUUAGACCCUAUCACACCAUGAGGCACUAUCUGCGAGUCGAGUUGUUUAGAAAUGUAGCUUUAAUCAGGUAGUAAAUUAUAUCCAAGGCUAAAUACAAGGAAGAGACUAAUAACGAACAAGUAUCAUGAGGGAAAGAUGAAAGGGACUUUAAAAAAAGAGUUAAAAAGUGCAUGAAAUUAUUGGUAGAAAAGUAGAUGGGGGCUAGGGAUGCACCUCAGUUGGAUGUGGAAUGGUAAGAGCUGGUCCACCAAUCAACUUGGGGUAUGGAUCGAUGCAUAUCAUGGCAAUGGCCUAAGCUCAAACUUUUUAUAUGCUUACAGAGACGUUGUCACCACUAUCAUGGAAUGCAACACAUGCCAUCUAGAUGUGUGUCAACCCACAUGUGCUUCUGGGGUCAACCUACAAGCUCCCCAUCUAGCCAAUCUUGAAACAUAAACCAAGGAGUCUGACAUGUGUGCAAGUCAAUGAGCUAGAAAACCCAAAAGGCAUAAGGAAACUAAUUGGCAAGAUCCCUUGUAAGUGCACUACCAACCAAACUUGAUCUUUUGAAUUGCGUCUGAGUGAGGCAAAGGCAGAGGAAACUCUGGUGGAGGCCUGCAGCAAUACUAACAUGCAAAUCAUUUGUCUGACUUGGGUAUAGGGUGAAAAACUAAUUGAAAUGUCUAGUAGCUAGCUCUCUCUAAAGUUUCUCUCAUGAUAGCUGGAGCCCUUAGCAAGUUCUAUCAAGUAAAGCCAAUGAUUAGAGGCAUCGUAAGUGCAACACCCUUGACCUAUUCUUAAACUUAAAAUAGGUAAGAAAGUGAGGCUACUUCAUGAAGCCGUUCCAUGGAAUCGUGAGCUCCUAGUGGGCCAUUUUGUUAAGCAAAACUGGUGAUGUAGGAUGAACUAGAAGCUAGAUUACGAUGCCUAACUGCAUGCUAACCUAGAACCCACAAAGGGUGUCGGUCAAUUAAGAUAAUAGGAUAGUGGUAAUAAAAGUCAAAAUCCACUAAGGAGUGUAUAAUAACUCACCUGCCAAAUCAACUAGCUCUAAAAAUGGAUGGUGCUUAAGCACACGACCUAUAUAUGGCUGUUAGGGCAAGGGCCAGGCCCUAAUGAAUAGCAAGGUGUAAAGGCAGUGCAAAACCUAAAGCAUGACCAAAACGACCAUCAGUAUAUAUCUUGGUGGUAGUAGCAAAUAUUCAAAUAAGAAAUUUGAAGGCUGAAGAAGGGAAAAGUUCCAUGUGAAUGGCACUUGCACAUGGGUUAGUCGAUCCUAAAAGAUAGGGAAAGGUCAUCCGAUAGCACAUCCAGCACAAGCUUCAAAAAGGAAUCAAGCUAAAAUUCCUAAACCAAGAUGCGGUGACUAAUGGCAAUGUUAAAGAGUUUGAAGAUGUUGGUGGAGGCCUCGGGAAGAGUUAUCUUUUUUAUUUAAUGGCUUGCCUACCCUGAAAAUGGCUCAACCAAAGGUAGGGUCCAACAACCAAAAGAGCACUACACAUUGCAUGGUGUAUAAUGAGCCCCUGCUGGGCUUUGAAAAUCUAGAGAACCAACUACGAUCCAUGCCCAAUCAUACUCAUAAUCGCAUCAGGUCUCUAAGGUGAACAACCUCUGGUCAAUGAACCAAUAUAGGUAAAGGAUGUCGGUAAAACGGAUUUGUAACCUUGGGAAAAAUGUUGGCUCUAAAGGCUAGGCAUGGGGGUCACAAUCCUGAACCCAUCGGCUACUAGUGCACUACUUGAGCUACUAUUACAAUGAGAAUGGGUCAUCACAUGCCAACUAGGGGAUAGACUUGGAAUGGCUCCCUUGGGGGUCUUUCCUAAAUGACGAAUAGUCGACUCAGAACUAUUAUGAAUAAGGGGAAUCCAACUAUUUAAUUAAAACAAAGCAUUGCAAUGGUCCCUAUGGAUGCUCACUCAAUGUGAUUUUUGCCCAGUGCUUUGAAUGUCAAAGUGAAGAAAUUCAACCAAGUGCAGGUAAAUAGCGUGAGUAACUAUGACUCUCUUAGGGUAACCAAAUGCCUCGUCAUCUAAUUAGUGAUGUGCAUAAAUGGAUUAAUGAGAUUCCCACUAUCCCUAUUUAUUAUCUAACAAAACAACAACUAAGGGGAUGAGCUUGGCAAAGUCCAACUUUGUGAAAUGACUUGAGAGGUAUAGGAUAAGUGGGAGCCCUUGGGCAAAAUUGAAAUAUCACAACUUUUAACAUUAUUUUACUUAUUCGAUGAAUCAAAGGUGGGACAUGACCCUUUCUUUUGGAACCAAAAUUACCCUUGGUCGAUCAAUCUAAGCAGACGACCUUGUUAGGUGGGGAGUUUGGCUAAGGUAGCACAUUUGUUAAAAGAUAAUGUAGGUGUCCUAAGAUGAGCUCAACAAUAAUAGAAAUCUUGUAUGGAACAAAAAAGUAAAAGGUUAUUUGAUUAUAUUUUUCAGUACAAAUAUGAAUCAUAAAAGUGUGGCCUAUCGAUCCUUUAGAUCUUUAAAAUUUGAAGCUAGAGGUGUUAGAAAAGUUACCAGAGGGAUAAUUGGCUUAUGAUAACCAAGCAUUCAUAACGACAUUGCUUUUUGAUUCUUUGAUGUUGGCUCUUCCUAUCAUUGUGAAGCAAAAUUCAUCAAGUGUUAGAUUGUUCACUCACACCACUAGGAAACAUGAGCUAGGUUUAGACUACCAUGAGAUAGGUUAGUUUUACCCUAUUGAUGGUAGCGUUACACCUAGUAUGAGAGAAACCAUUGAUUCGCAUAAUUGGUUAUCAUGUUUGCUUGAAAAGCUAGUAGUCUAAAGCUACCAUGCACUAGAUUAUGACUAAACACCUCUAAGUUAGAAUCUAGGCUUGAAAUAAUGCACACACCUAUCACCCAAUUGCCAUCCUUAGUAGGGGCCCAUGGCCCUCAAUGGCACAUGUUGUAGGUGUAGCCCUUAUGGUGGACAAGCCAUAUGGGCCUCCUUAAGGCUCAUUCCCAUGGAGUGGUGGGUAAAAUCCUUUACAGAUGGCUUAAAUAUGUGACAAGGUAUUGUAAGUGGUAAAGUGGCCUUGCUACCAUGAUCUACUAAGAUUCAGCUCUUCGUCGCUUUGAUUCAUCCAUCCCUCACUU